rnacentral:rRNA from 1 species
AUACGUAGGGGGCGAGCGUUAUCCGGAAUUAUUGGGCGUAAAGAGUGCGUAGGCGGUUUCUUAAGCGCGGGGUGAAAGGCAGUGGCUUAACCAUUGUUAGCCUUGCGAACUGGGAGACUUGAGGGCUGGAGAGGAAAGCGGAAUUCCUAGUGUAGCGGGGAAAUGCGUAGAUAUUAGGAGGAACACCAGUGGCGAAGGCGGCUUUCUGGACAGUAACUGACGCUGAGGCACGAAAGUGUGGGGAGCAAACAGGAUUAGAUACCCUGGUAGUCCACACCGUAAACGAUGAGCACUAGGUGUCGGGUCCGCAAGGAUUCGGUGCCGCAGUUAACGCAUUAAGUGCUCCGCCUGGGGAGUACGUACGCAAGUAUGAAACUCAAAUGAAUUGACGGGG